UGGGGAAUAUUGGACAAUGGGGGCAACCCUGAUCCAGCAAUGCCGCGUGUGUGAAGAAGGUCUUCGGAUUGUAAAGCACUUUCGACGGGGACGAUGAUGACGGUACCCGUAGAAGAAGCCCCGGCUAACUUCGUGCCAGCAGCCGCGGUAAUACGAAGGGGGCUAGCGUUGCUCGGAAUGACUGGGCGUAAAGGGCGUGUAGGCGGUUUAGCACAGUCAGAUGUGAAAUUCCCCGGGCUUAAC
rnacentral:rRNA from 1 species